UUCUUUUUUUAACGAGACAGGCCCUUUGACCAAGGAUGUAAAUCAAUCGCUGGUUUUCUCUAAUCCGAAGGAUGAAAUCCAUUGAAAGGAAGGGCGAAAUACCUUUAUUUAGGUACAAUCGCUAAGAAACGGAAACGAAAUCCCUCGUCGACUUUGCGAAAGGGGAAACAUUUCUCGAGCAAGAGCCACCCUGACGAGCAAUUUUGUCUGAAACUGACUGAGAUAAAAGUCGAGAAGGCGGAACGAUUGGACGACAAAAGCGCAAAAAAUCCAGUGAAUUUGGAAAACGUGCGGACGCUGUAAAAACAGACGCUGCGAUAUUCGAUAAACAUGAACCUGGAAACGAACGUAAGUAAGUGGACUGGCAAACGAACAAAUCAAAUGGCAUUUCGAUUACAACGACGCGAUAUAAAAUUCUUUAAAGUCCGCUAGAACUUUAAUCAAGGAUUAGUCUAAUCGAAAACACUGCUUCAAUUUGUUUUCUAUCCAAAUAGUUUGUCGUAAUAAUUCCGAUAAGAGACAUUCAAAGAGUCGA
rnacentral:misc_RNA from 1 species